CGGCAGAGCCGGGCACAGGGCACUGAUUCCCGUUGUCGUGCGCGGCUCGGGCAGGAGGGGACCCUGUGCCACUGCAGCAGCUGGGGAAUCCUGAAUGCCAGAUGUUAGUCCAUAUUCUAGAAGAGAUGUCUCAUUGUGGAGAAAGAAUCAAGAUGCUCCAUGCCAGUGAAGAUCCUCUCUAGUUGGCUGUGAUGUAUUGAGUGUUCCUCCACAGGACCAGGAUGAACACUACUCUCCCACGCUAUUUAAUAACAAGCCAUAUACACAGAGCCCAAAAUUCAUGUUUGCAUGGACUCCCCUGCCUUUGCCCCAGAGCAACAAGUUGACAUCACCUAUCUGACUUGGGUUGAAAUGAUGAGUAAAACCCAGGUCCUAAACCACCUUGCUCGCAGCAGACCUACUGCAAACAUUCCGAGUCUUCCCUGUCUUUAUGAAGGAACCCAUUGAUGAGGAUCUCAUCCAUGGAUGAGAAGCCACCGUGUCCAUGCAGUGACUUCCCCAUGAAGCAGGUGGCAGGCCAUGGUCUCUCUUUGCAACAGAACAGUUGGCAUUUUUCAUUUUGAUGAAUAACCAGGCCAAGCCCACGAACAUCUCACUCUACAAGUACAACCAGAGAAUGGAGUCCAGCCUCCAGGCACCUCUAUCCACAUGGUGUAGAUGCUUCUAUUUCAGGAUUUAAGGAGAAGAAUCCUUUCAAAUGUGUGUUUCAGCCUCUGAGCAUAAAGCUCAGUGAAAACUCAGUGCUGUUCCCCACGACAAGGACAGGCAGAAUUACCUGAAUGUGCUAGAAGCACGUACCCACCUCUCCCAAGGCAGAAAAUGCAACUUCCUACAGGUGAAAGGCAGGAAGUUAUAAUUAACAUCAAUCACCAUCAAACCUUAUCCACACCUUCCUGCACAGCAGGACAUCAGCCCAAGCUGGGAAGAGAGGCAGGAGGGGCUACAGCACUUCUCUGCUGUUUCCCAGAGCUCUGCACUGCAUGAGACACACGUGCUGAACACUGUGGGCCUAUGAGGAAGUUACAGCUCUCUAAGUGGGGAGCAGCACUGUUCCACAACUCUCCCAAAACUUGGACUCAUGCUGCCUCUACUCGUGACAGGAGCUGAACUCAGUGUGCAUGAGCUGCAGUGAUGAAUGUGAAUCUGCCAUGAUAGUCAGAGCUGCUCUGAGUGGUACCAAACAGGAGCUUCUCUGUUGCCUCCCAGAGACUGAUCAUCUCUCCAGCUGAAAGCCUAAGCUAAUUCAUUGAGAAAACACAGCGUCAUCCUGAACCCAUUUGUCCCACUACAGAUCUGUAGCAUGUGACAGCCCCAUUGACUCUAAGAGCUUCUCCUUGAAUGAAUCUGCUGUCUUAGCUGCAGUACAAAUUUGUCCUUUGCUUCUAGUGACAGGGAAAAUACUCACCAAAUUUUAAACCAGUGUUAGUCAUCCUGAAGACAGCUGAGAGGAAGAUUACUUAGUUGUAAUUGCCUGUUCUAGUCCAAUCCUUCCACAGGAUGGGGAAGAGCACAGGAGACAGCUGGACAUCAUUACUAAUAGAAAGCAAGAACAGAAAAGGACUUCAUAGGCAGCAUAUUCCCCCUGAAAGGCUCAGGCUGCCUUUCCUUGUUUGUUAGAUGUUGCCAGAAGUCGGAGUGUAAAAUACACCAAGGCAGAGGCCUUAUCUGCUAUGGGAAAAGUGGGAUCUAAAUACCAACAUGCAUUUCAAAGUUAACAAUACACAAGUGUAACUGUAAAGAGAGAGAAAGAAGCAGCUUGGAAGCAACAGAAGUGUCUGUAGAACUUGGACAGACAUGUUUACAUGUCACCUGAAGGACAUGUGCUGCAAGAAAAGCUUUGUAGACACCGACCAACUUGACUCGAAGAGCAAACGCUGUGAAAGAGCAGCAUAUCAGCAGCACCUUGCAUUUAGCAAACGAAAGCUUUCUGUCAAUUAUGAAAUAUUUUGGUAUCAAAAAUAUACUGCACUGUCAUUUCAGUCUUUCACCUUCCGUUUACGACUGCACCUUAAACGGGAUGUCGGGCACAGAAACCAUUCUCCCCACACGUACCCACGUGCACCCAACCGCCCGCUUCGCGCAGCUUCCCGACCACCAGAUUUCAGCAAGCACCGCAACCCCAUGGCAGAGUGAGCACAUUUGGCUGACAACAGCACUGCCUUCCAUGGAUGUCUGAUCCAUACCAGGUGGCCAUCUGGAGCCACUGACCACGUGGGGCCAUCUGUGGCAGCGGGAGCACCUUCCUGCUGGCCCGGGCAGCAGCUGCCACAGGCUUGGUAUGAACUCCGGCAGCAGAGUGGUGUCUGCUGGUACCUGGGCCAGAUAACCUUCUUCAAAGGUUGUAAAAGUGGGACAUCCAGAACAAAGAUCCUUCAAGGUUUGGCUACACUAAAGGCAGAAUCUCAAGGCCCUCUGAAGCAAGCCUUGAAAGCUAAUAGAAUUUAAAAUUUCAGAAAGAAGCUUAAUCAAAAGAUUACAUCAGAAUUUUAGAGCCCUCUCAGUGAGUUUUCAUCAUCUUUGCCUUAAUCCAGCCUUGAUGUAACACAGCAAAAAAUAAAAGCCACCAAAAGUCAUCUGCUGCAAUAUAUAUUUUAAUUCAAAGUGAAUCUUGACAGUAAUACACCAUAAAUUCUUAUUUUGACACUCACCAAAAUAGUCACCUGGAAAACCCGCUUUUUGUGACAAAGUACAGAAGGCUUGGUCACAUUUAAAUCACUGAGAACUAGAAAGAAAUACUAUCGCAAACUGUAAGAGACAUUACAUCCAUAAAAAAUUUUCCCAGUCCUCAUAUUGUAAUAUUGCACAGUGCAAUUGCUACAUGGCGAACUAGUGUAGCAUAGAAAUCCAAAGCAAAAAAAAAAAAGCCACAAGUCUACAAAUUGUUAAACAGUAACAGUUCAACCUUAUUAAUCAAGUCUCUAUCACUGGGUGUUUCUAGAACAAGUCUUCCUACAGCUUGCAGUGUGAUUUAACUUUUACUUAACACAAACCAAGUUAAUUAGCAGUAAAAACAGAAAAUUUAAAAAUUAAACCCCCCCCAAAAAAGUUAAUACAGUAGCAUAUUUGACCAAUAAAACACCCUGAAGUAAAGUUAAAAACCGAACACAAGAAAUUCAUAUAAAAUCUUGCAAAUUAAAGUAAUAUGCAGAUAUGCAAUUCCGUAGUCAUGCAGUGUUUUAUUUAAAAAAGGCAUUUAAACGGCAUAAUGUAUAAAUGCUUCUCAGAGGAUGACUUUUUUCACAGAAAAGGUCCUCGCCCUGAAAACUUUUUUUUUUUUUUCUGCAGAUGGGCCCUGGACACUUGCAGUGACAAGAGUCCGUUCUCUCAGAGUGUAUUGCAGGAGGGGGGAAAAGUUACCUGGUAUAUUGAAUUUAAGCUGUGGCAGGAUCCCAAAUAUUUCGUUCUUGGAAAUGCAGACGUUUCUAACGUUACAAUACAUAGAAAGAGCAGCAGAUCUAAUUUGGGGCGCAUUUACAGCAACUUCUUCCUGCACACGACAGGAUACCGUUGUGAUAUACAGAUAAUCGUGUCAAUUGAACAAGCACAUCAGCUUAAAACCUUAAGCACAGUAAAAAGAAAGUACAGUAAAUACAUCAGACCAAUGAUGAUCCCCAUGGCCCCAGAAAAAAAAAAAAAAGCAGUAUUUUUUAUUAUUUUUUUUUUUUUUGUCAUCGCGAUACAAAACUCACGUUCUCCGUUUGCAUUGGUGGUUCUUGGUGUGUCCAUUGCCUGCAAUGGAGGGAGCACCAAAAAAAAAAUGUCGCUUCCCGACACAAGGGAGGGAACAGAAAACUAUCUGCUGGACCACACAGCACAAGUUUGAAGUGGUAAGGUGGACGUCCAAUUUGAGCAUUGUCUUGGCUCCCUAUAUUUAUGCUUUACAUACGCGUUGAUAAGAUUUCAAAUUCAUCAGGAUACUCCCUAGUUUCUAAUGUAUACUUUAUAUACACACACUCGUACAAAAUGCAUAGAGUUGAUCACUAAAAACACUGAAACUUGUGGGAAAAGUUAGGUUUCUUAAUUUUCAGUGUGAUUAAAAAUGUACUGCUGGUAUUUUCUUUUUUUCUUUGUGAUCUAAUACUGUUGUAUUUUAGUUAUUACUUAAAAAAUAAAUCAAAUGUAGGCACAUUUAUUUCAUUCAGACAUUCAUUAAAUAAAACACUGCUUGUGUUAGUGGAGUAAAGAAAAAGAUUACCAGUUAUUAGCUUAUUGUCAGAGUUAAACUCAAAUGCUUUGCACUCUCAUUCCAGUCAACAUUGCAAGGAUUGUAUUCCAGAUUUUGUUUUAAAAAAAGUUAAGUCAAGCCUGCAAGAUGCAGCUUCUUAAGUGUCUACACAAUGCCAAUAUGAAAA